CCUACGUGGGGCUGCAGUGGGGAAUAUUGGACAAUGGGCGAAAGCCUGAUCCAGCCAUGCCGCGUGUGUGAAGAAGGCCUUCGGGUUGUAAAGCACUUUCAGUGGGGAAGAAAGCCUUGGGGCUAAUACCCUCGAGGAAGGACAUCACCCACAGAAGAAGCACCGGCUAACUCCGUGCCAGCAGCCGCGGUAAUACGGAGGGUGCGAGCGUUAAUCGGAAUUACUGGGCGUAAAGCGCGCGUAGGCGGUCUGAUAAGCCGGUUGUGAAAGCCCCGGGCUCAACCUGGGAACGGCAUCCGGAACUGUCAGGCUAGAGUGCAGGAGAGGAAGGUAGAAUUCCCGGUGUAGCGGUGAAAUGCGUAGAGAUCGGGAGGAAUACCAGUGGCGAAGGCGGCCUUCUGGACUGACACUGACGCUGAGGUGCGAAAGCGUGGGUAGCAAACAGGAUUAGAUACCCGAGUAGUC
rnacentral:rRNA from 1 species